GAAAUGCGAUAAGUAAUGUGAAUUGCAGAAUUCAGUGAAUCAUCGAAUCUUUGAACGCACAUUGCGCCCGCCAGUAUUCUAGCGGGCAUGCCUGUCCGAGCGUCAUUUCAACCAUCAAGCCCCCGGGCUUGUGUUGGGGACCUGCGGCUGCCCGCAGGCCCUGAAAACCAGUGGCGGGCUCGCUGUCACACCGAGCGUAGUAGCAAUCACCUCGCUCAGGGCGUGCUGCGGGUUCCGGCCGUUAAACAGCCUUACAAAACCCAAGGUUGACCUCGGAUCAGGUAGGAAGACCCGCUGAACUUAAGC
rnacentral:misc_RNA from 1 species